rnacentral:piRNA from 1 species
UUCUCAAUGAGACUGGCGACGAG